CUGGGUCUGGCAGCGAUCGAGCGUUGCAGAAAGAGGCUGGCCUCUAGGCUCACCUGGCUACGUUCUGGCGAUGCCCCAACAAAAUUCUUCAUGGCCAAGAUUUGCUCGCGAAGGAGGAAGAAUUUCAUUCAUGCUCUGACCAUCAACGAGACGGUAACCACGGCCCACAGCGACAAAGAAACGGCCAUCCACAGCCAUUUCAACGCCAUCCUUGGGACUGCAAGCCAACGGACAUCUACGAUCAACUGGAGCCAGAUCAACAUGCCAACGAUCCAAGGAGGGGGGCUGGACAACCCCUUUACUGAGCAAGAGGUGUGGGCGGCAAUCCAGGCCACGCCAGCUGAAAAAUCGCCGGGGCCGGACGGCUUCAGUGGGCUGUUUUUCAGAUCGUGCUGGGAGAUUAUCAAAGAAGACGUGAUGUAG
rnacentral:rRNA from 1 species